rnacentral:rRNA from 1 species
GAUGAACGCUGGCGGCGUGCUUAACACAUGCAAGUCGAACGAGAGAAGAUUGGUGCUUGCACUGAUCCGAUCGAGUGGCGGACGGGUGAGUAACGCGUGGGUAACCUGCCUCAUACAGGGGAAUAACAGUUGGAAACGGCUGCUAAAACCGCAUAAGCGCACAGUAUCGCAUGAUACAGUGUGAAAAACUCCGGUGGUAUGAGAUGGACCCGCGUCUGAUUAGCUAGUUGGUGAGGUAACGGCCCACCAAGGCAACGAUCAGUAGUCGGCCUGAGAGGGCGAACGGCCACAUUGGGACUGAGGCACGGCCCAAACUCCUACGGGAGGCAGCAGUGGGGAAUAUUGCACAAUGGGGGAAACCCUGAUGCAGCGACGCCGCGUGAGUGAUGAAGUAUUUCGGUAUGUAAAGCUCUAUCAGCAGGGAAGAUAAUGACGGUACCUGACUAAGAAGCACCGGCUAAAUACGUGCCAGCAGCCGCCGUAA